rnacentral:rRNA from 1 species
UACGUAGGGUGCAAGCGUUGUCCGGAAUUAUUGGGCGUAAAGAGCUCGUAGGCGGCCACGCACGUCCGUUGUGAAAUCGCCCGGCUCAACUGGGCGGGGUCGGCGGAUACGGCGUGGCUGGAGCAAGCUAGGGGGCAAUGGAAUUCCCGGUGUAGUGGUGGAAUGCGUAGAUAUCGGGAGGAACACCAGUGGCGAAGGCGGUUGCCUGGAGCUUUGCUGACGCUGAGGCGCGAAAGCGUGGGGAGCGAUCCGG